UUUUUUUUUUUUUUUUUUGUUAAAUUAAAGAUAAAUAUUUAACUUAGAUUCAUCCUACCAAACAUUAAAACUAGAGAUUUAAUUAUAUAAUCAUUUUCCAACUCAUGUCAAGUCAUUUUAAAAAAUGACAAGUCAACAACUCAAUAUGAUCCAGUUUUUAAGUCUUUGAAUUGUCACUACAAACAAUUAUAUAUCUCUUGACGCAUAUAUUCGUCCGAAAAUGCACAAAAUAGCAUUAGGAUCGAAGUUUAAUUAAACUUCUAACGAUGGAAAAAUCAUCAAAAGAUUCGUAAAAGAGACGAUCUUUUGAUUAACACACAUGGUCAUAAAUUUGGGUUUGAAUGACACAGGGUAAAUAACUAAAUUUGAGUUGGAGGAGGCAAAUUGUGUCAUAAAUGUUAGAAAAAGGCGUUUUUGGUCCGAAAACCCUAAUUUUCAAGCUUCAGUUUUUUAAUUGUCAAGCAUCAAUGACAUUUAAUAAACUACAUUAAAUGAUUUUAAUCUUUUUAUGUUACAGAUUUUGAUUGGAUUAUUUAUUAAAAACAAAAUUGGAGCAUCCAUUUUUUUUAUGAUUAUUAAUAAAUUAAAUUUUUAUAUUUAAUAUUUAUUAAUAAAGAUAAGAAAUUAGAUUUGGUUGUUAUAUGUUGGGUUAAUAUUUAAGGAAAACUCAUGACAAAAAAAGAGAAAAAGAAAGUUCAUACCACUUUCAUGUUUUUUUGGAUAUUGUAAAUAUGACAAGUAAAUAGAUAUAUUAUGAGUUUAAUAAUUAUUAUUAUUUAAACUUUUCACGACGUACAACCUGUCACACGUCGUAAAAAGUGUCCGUAUUGAAGUGACAAUAGUCACCUUUUCUCGACAUGUGGCAGGGAGACACAUCGGAAAAGUUUAAAUAAUGAAUUUAUUAUUUAAACUUUUUUUGACAUGUACUAUAUACGUUGACGAAAAGGUACCUUUCCCGACGUUUUCGGAGACGUCGAAGAAAGUUCACACUAUUUAUUCUCUCUUCAACACAGAAAAGAAUGCAAAACAAAAACAAACCAUAAAUUGACCGAGGGAGAGGAGGAGAGUUGUGUUGCCGUCGCCGUCGCCGUCCAUCUUCACCGCCGCCACCGCCGAAAGUGUCCUCUUUCCUUCUCCUUUUCUUUUUCGUUUUAACUUUUUCGCUUCAUUGUACCCUUUCAAAUAAUAGCAGAGCCAAAAUGUAGUGACAAUGUGUUUUAUUAUCAUAAUUUUUUUUUGCUAUUUUUACAAAUGUCCUAAUAUUUAUUAAUAAAGAUAAGGAAUUGAUUGUUACUAAUAUAUUCUCAGAAUUACUAUAUAUUUUUCUAAUGCACUGUUAUGAUGUGAAUCAUGAUUUUGGUUUCUCUGCUUGUUUCAGAAGUAACCCCAAAAGCAAUAAUUAGGAGGACGAUGGGAGUAAAAGGUCUCUCACCCUUCAUCACUUAAAAUCACACCUCCAAGGUUUGUUCGUUUCACCAUUCCGUGUGUUUGACGUUUUGCAUGAGAAGGAUAUCCUCCUUCAUUUCAUAGCUUAUGUACUUAUCAAAACAUUCUUUUCAUAUAUUUUUUUUAACUAUUUAAUUCAUUAUAAUGUAUUUAGGUUUGAAAACUCUUAGACUCACAUCAUUAAAAUUUAUUUGACUUACAAAAUCCAAUUAAGUUCCUUUGCUUUCGAAUCUUAGAAUAUAGUUACCCAACUUUUACUCUUUUAAAAUUGUUUUUUAUCUUCUUCUUUUGUAUUAAAUACAACUUACCCUGCUAAAAUUAUGGAUUUACUAAGCCAAUACAUUAUUCCCAUCAAAUUGUUUUAUUCCAUUUUCGUUUCUUUAUUAUUAUUAUUAUUAUUUGUCAUUGUAUUGUAUUUUAAUAUAAAAACUGAUUUUCAGAAAACUUGCGACUAAAUUUUGAAUUUGAUAACUAUAUAGUUUCCAAUAAAUCUUUAUUUAGAAAGAUCUUUGAAAAGGAGAAAAUAUAUAGAAUGUUGCUUAGAUUUCGUUUUACCCAUUUAGUAACUCUUAGAUAUUCUAAAACGUAAGAUAUGCCCUUCCAAAAUCCAAACACUCACUUUUUUUCUCUCUUUUACUUGUGAACCAUUAAUUAGGUCAAAUACGUACUCAGACAAAAUAGGUGAAAUUAGGUGAAAAUAAAAAAUAUAUAGAAUUCGUUCAAGUAUAAAAGAAUAAUUAUAAAACAUGAACAUUUUCAAACACACCUAAAUCUGGUUGCAAAAUUAAUAAGUAUAAUACAAUAGAUUUUUUUAAUUAUAUAUGGUUAAAAUUUAAUUUAAAAUAUUAUUUCUUGUUCAAUUAAUUAGACAAAGAUGUUGAUUAAAAUUCAACUUAAUUAUACUCAAUUAUAUAUUAUUACGUAAAUGUCUUAUAUGUAAAAUAUUAAAAGUAAUAUAAAUGAAUAUUUUAGUAGAAAUUUUUUUAAUAUACAUAAAUGAAUAUUUUAGUAGAAAAAUUUAUAUCAGGUAACAGUUUAACUAAUUUUGAAGGAACUAAAGAUAAUAAAUUUAAAUUGAAAAUAAAAUAUACACAUGCAUAUUGCAAAAUUUAAAAUUAAUAUUUAAAUAAAACAAGAUCAAAAUAAUAUAUAAAUUUAAAUAUUAAAUAAUUUAUAAUUCAAACUUAAAUUAAACAUGUAAAUAUUAAAAAACAAAAAAUAAAUGUAAGUAACUAGAAAAGAAGAUUUAAAACUAAAUAUGAAAUUUGAAAAUCAAAUAAUAGGUAAAUCUAAAUAUUAAAAAAUUAAAAUUAAAUUAAAUAUACAAAUAUGAAAAAUAAUAAAGAAAGGAAAAAUUCCCAACAUCCCUCCCUCCUCAACACAGUAUGAUUGACCAAAAUUUCAUGUAAUAUUUUUUGAAAUAACAUAAAGAAAAUCAUAACUAAAGUUGACUAUUCAAAGUAGGGCACCCAAAAUGUUAAUUUAAUUAGCAACAGCUCUCUAUAAAUACCCAUUUCAUGAACUACAAAAUUCCCCACUCACAUCUUAACACAUAUUAUUAUUAUCACUUUCCUACAACAAACAAAACUUCACGCAUUCCAAAUCCUUAAUUAUUCAAUUCUCUCCAAGAAACAAGGAUCCAAUGGCGACUGCUGUUAAUCAUAAAACCCUCGACUUGGAACCGGUCUCCUCCACUGGCAACUUUCCAGUUCAACGUUGCAACUCAUUCCGGUCUAAUAGCUUCAAAUUCAAGCGCCAAGCCGAGAAACCGCUCCUUAUUGAUGAUGAUGAUUCCUCCUUUGAUCGUGACGAGGAGAACAUUGAUUACUUCCGGGAUUUGAUCCGGAAGGGGAAAGAGGAAAUCGAGCCGUCGAUUCUUGAUCCGAGGGACCAGGGGACGGCGGAUAGUGGGAUCAUGAGGAAUCCUUGUAUGGUCCGGCUUACCGGAAAACACCCCUUCAACUCUGAACCGCCGCUGGACCAUCUCAUGCGCCAUGGGUUCAUUACUCCGGCCCCACUUCAUUACGUUCGUAACCAUGGUCCGGUUCCGAAGACUGAUUGGUCUAGCUGGACGAUUGACGUCACUGGACUCGUUGAAAACCCUACAUCCUUCACUCUCGACCAACUUGUCAAUAACUUCAGGUCCUCAAAUACCCAUUUUACUCAAAACCCUCCAAACUCAUUUCCAAACUAAUUCUUGUUUUUAUUUUUUAAUUUAAGUUUUUUCUUUUUUUCUAAAGUUUAAAAUUCAGUUAAUAAACACUCACUGUUUAUCUCGUAAACAAUUUUUUUUAAUAGCUAACAAAAAAAAGUUUUUAAAAAAUUGAUAUUUUGAUUUUAGGAUUUAGUCGGUACUUCCAAAACUAAGGGUUGAAGAUAGGAUAAAGAAAUAAACAUUGGUUUUUGAUUUUGUGUUUUUAAUAAUUAAGCUUAUAAAUAUUCUUUUUAGUGGAUUCUUUGAUUUGUUUUCUAACUUUCUAACAAUAUUUUAUAAAAUUAAAGUAUUCUUCUUUUAAAAAAAAAAUCAUUUUGUUAAAUUUGAUAGUACCAGUUCUAUCUCAAAACCAAUGAGAGAAGUAGUAUCUUUUUAAAUGGAUUUUCAACUUCUCCAACAAAUUUUAAAUCUAGCUCUUUUAAUUAAAAAUUGAAACUUGUUAUACAAGUUUGAGAUAAAAUAGACUGAACUACUUAUUUUUAAAUUUACAAAUCAAUGUUUGUUUAAUUUUCUUUAAUGAAUUCUUUUAAGAUUUAUGAGGUACUUAGAAAUAAUGUAUCUUAGCGCAGGAGAGCUUCAACAAAACAUCUGUAUCAUCACUUUAUUUCUUUCUUAAAAAUAAACACAAAGACAAAACCCAUAGGAUUUCUUUUAAAAAUUUUCUUUUUAGUUAUUAAAUUUAGGUUGACAUUUUGAAAACGUUUUUUUUUAAAAUAAUAAUAAAAGAGGAAAGUAGAGUUAUGACAAAACAAAGCAAUUCAAGAGCAAAACUAAAACGUCAUAAGCUUAUUUUAUUUUAUUUUUUUAAAAUACAAGUUUUAAAAUAUAGAACAAAACCCCCACACAAUUGAGUAAUUGACUAUUGAUAUAUAUAAGAAAUUGAGAACAAAUGAAAUUACAAUCAUAUUUAAAUUCAACAACUUAAAUAUGUGGGAUAUGAUUAUUUCUAACCCUUUAUUCAUAUUCUUAAAGCAGAUCUCUAGAGUUUCCGGUUACCAUCAUGUGCUCCGGCAACCGACGGAAGGAGCAAAACAUGGUGAAACAAACCAUCGGAUUCCACUGGGGAGCCGCCGUGACCUCCACCUCACUGUGGCGGGGAGUUCCAUUACGCGAAGUACUGAAACGGUGCGGCAUCUUCAGCCGUCAAAGAGGAGCCUUAUACGUAUGGAUGGAAGGCGCGGACAAUCUCCCUGGUGGUGGCGGCUGCAGCUACGGCACCAGCAUAAGAAGAGAAAUGGCAAUGGACCCAUCAAGAGAUAUCAUAAUAGCAUACAAGCAAAACGGCGACCCACUCCCGCCAGACCACGGCUUUCCGGUUAGGAUGAUCGUCCCGGGGUUCACUGGCGGCCGCAUGGUCAAGUGGCUCAAACGAAUCAUCGUCACCAAUAGAGAGUCUGACAAUUAUUAUCAUUUUAUGGACAACCGUGUCCUUCCAUCCCACGUGGAUUCUUCCGAGCUGGCACAUGCUGAAGGUGAUAUAUUUAUUUAUUAUAAUUUAAUGAUUAAUUGACAUUUUCUAAAAUUUACUAAUUUUUAAAAACUAUAUACUCAAUAUUUAUUUAGGUUGGUGGUACAAACCGGAGUACGUUAUCUACGAAAUGAACAUAAACUCUGUGAUAACAACACCGUCACACAACGAGACGUUGUUGAUUAAUUCAGAGACGACACUAUCCACCUACACGUUAAGGGGAUACGCAUAUUCCGGUGAGUAAGAAUUAGUAAUGUGAACACAAUUAUUGUAUAAUUUUCUAUUUGAGAUUUAUUUUUGUUUUCUUGGUGUAGGUGGAGGGAAAAAGGUGACACGUGUACAGGUGACGUUGGACGGUGGGGAGACGUGGAAGAUAUGUAAUUUGGAGUACCAUGAGAAGCCAAACAAGUAUGGGAAAUAUUGGUGCUGGAUCUUUUGGUCAGUCGACGUGGAAAUAUUGGACCUGUUUGGAUCUAAGCAAAUUGCUGUCCGAGCAUGGGAUGAAACAACCAACACACAGCCAGAAAAUCUUAAUUGGAAUCUCAUGGUAAUUAUUAAUAAUUAUGUUUCUAUUUCUACAUUAAAAAUAUAUUAUAGUUAAUGAAGUUAUUAUCGUCAGAAAAAUCUUACAAAAUCUAUGACCCAUGCACACAUAUGAAACUAAAACAAUAAAAUUUUAACUAAAUCAUAAGAAACCUGACAUAUAAUGUCCCUUUCUUCAGCCUUCUUCAACUACCUAUUUUUUAUUCCAUCUUUUAAAACACAGAUAUUUCUUCUUCUUCCCACCUUUUAGCUUGACUUUCCUAUUUCUCACCCUCUCAUCCAUAUGCUUUAAUUCAAAGAAAAAGUUUCUUACAAAAUAAUUAUAUUUAAACUGCAAUAUGUAUAGUGAGACUCAAUGGUUUGAUAAAUUAAAGAAAACACACGGUUUUUGCAAUAAAAAUAUACCCAGGUUGAAUAAUAUAAUAAAUAAUUGAUAACAUUAUAAAAUAGUGACAUAAAUGGGAAGAAUGAGAACAUUUUAUCGUAAUAAAAAGUUUAUGUAAGGAUGACGCAAAUUAAAUAACCGGUCAAUUUGAGAAAAUAAAAAUAAAUAUAUGUACAAAUGUAAACCCUUUUUUGUAUGGUGAUAGUAGAAUACAUAUUAAUUCUACUUUAUUUCAAACAAUAAUACUCGAUCAAUACAUACUGCCAAAAAUAUUGUUUUUUCUUAAAAGAAAAAGUACCAAUUAAUAUAGAAAAAGUACGACUUCAACGUUAUCAUACAAAAAUUUAUGAACUCUCAUAAUUAAUAUAGUAAUAAUAGUCCUAGAGAAAGAAUCAUAAGAGAAGAGAUGUUGCGGAAACGUACAUUCGUUUUAGUAGUUUUUUAGUUUUUUUCGUGGGUUUUUUCUACAGUUUUUAUUUUUUUUAAACUUUUGAAAAACCCCUUUUUAUUAAAAAAGAUAAAUAAUAAUAAUAAUUUUUCAUAGAGGAAUACUAUAUGAGAACACAUUUUCUACCACAGCUUGUUGAUAAUAAAAGUACAAAAAUGUUUGGAUGCAGGGGAUGAUGAACAACUCAUGGUACCGAAUCAAGAUAAACAUAUGCAAACCCCAAAAAGGAGAGAUCGGGAUCGUGUUCCGCCACCCAACAGUCGCCGGCAACAAUGCCGGCGGCUGGCAGGAAAAGGACAAACCCAAUCCGACCGACGAGUCCCCUUCCCAACAAAAAGACAACAAGAGCACCACCACCUUCUCCAUGUCGGAAGUCAAAACCCACAACUCGUCCGAAUCGGCUUGGAUCGUCGUCCAGAACCAUGUCUACGACUGUACUCCUUUUCUCAAAGACCAUCCAGGCGGCGCAGACAGCAUUCUCAUCAACGCUGGCACAGAUUGCACGGAAGAGUUCGAGGCUAUCCACUCCGACAAAGCCAUUAAAAUGCUUGAGGACUACAAAAUCGGAGACUUGUUGAUCCUAAACGACAACAAGGACGCAACGUCAUCACCCAAAGCAGUUACUCAACACGUGGCUCUGAUCCCUCGUGAGAAAAUCCCGGUGAAAUUGAUUUCGAAAACUACAAUUUCUCACAACACGAGAAUUUUCAGAUUUGGUCUUUCUUCGGAAGAUCAAAGAUUAGGACUACCCGUUGGAAAGCACAUAUUUUUAUGCGCCAAUGUGGAUGGGAAACUAUGUAUGAGAGCCUACACACCGUCAAGCGCCGUUGACCAAACGGGCUACUUCGACUUAGUCGUAAAAAUCUAUUUCAAGAACGUUCAUCCCGAUUUCCCCAACGGUGGCCUUAUGUCACAGUAUCUUGACUCGCUCCCGUUGGGAUCAAUGGUGGAAGUGAAAGGCCCAUUGGGCCAUAUAGAGUACAUGGGGCGCGGCAACUUCAGAGUCAACGGAAAGCCCAGAUUGGCCAAGAAGCUUGCCAUGGUGGCAGGUGGGACUGGGAUAACGCCUAUAUAUCAAGUGGUGCAGGCGAUUUUAAAAGAUCCGGAGGACGAGACGGAGAUGUUUGUUGUAUAUGCGAACCGGAGUGAGGAGGAUAUUCUGCUUAGGGAAGAGUUGGAAACAUGGGCGAAGGAGAAUGAGAGAUUGAAGAUUUGGUAUGUGGUGAAGGAUGGGGUUCAAGAAGGGUGGCCGUACAGUGUGGGAUAUAUUAGGGAAGAUAUUCUGAGGGAGCAUAUUCCGAUGGGGUCACCACAGACUUUGGCUUUGGUCUGUGGGCCGCCUCCCAUGAUUGAGCUCACAGUUAAGCCCAUACUCAAGAAUUUGGAGUAUGAUUUAGAAGGUUCCUUGUUGGUGUUUUGAUCUUUUUACUAAUUACCUUUUCAAUAUUAUUAUAAUUAUUUUGUUUGUUGUAAUAAUUACUGUGAAAGUGGGUUAAAAUUCAAUUUAUAUGAUCUUAUUCAUUUGUAAUAAUUAUGAUCACUUCAAUAAUAUUCUUUAUGUUGGUUUUUCUAUUCACUUUUCUGUGUUGUAUGAUAGAUUGAUUGAUGAUACAUGUGUUGAAAUUUUAAGUUAAAAGAAUAAUAACAAUAAUAAAAGCUAGGGAAUAGUUUACUAUUAAUUCAUUCACUCAUUUUCAUUAAUUCUACUAAUAUUACAAUUUGGACCAACUAAUGGUAUGGUAAACUCUUUUACCUCCCUAUCACCUCUAUUUAGUAUGUUUUAAAUGUAUAAAAACUUAUUGAUAGUAUUGGACAAAUAAACAAUCACAUUAAUUUAUUUUUUUAAAUGUCAAAAUUACCCUCUCUUCUUGCGCCUCUUCCUUCCUCUUUCCUCUUCCUCAACACCUUUCUUAUGUCAAAAAAAAAAAAAAAAAAAAAAAAAAAAAAACUGUCAGUCCAAACUCUCAUCUUCUUCCUUGUUUUUCUUCCCACCUUCUUCUUAUGUUUGGAAAGCUCUACCAAAACCACACAGGCUGACUAAACCCCUAAUAACCAAGAUCCAAUAUCAUUGUUGAAAUCCACCUCUCUUCAUCAGAGUUAAUCACACUGAAAUACCCACCUGUAGAUUGAAGAAAACCACGUUGAACGGAACUACCCUUGUCGAAAAAAACCCCCUUUUUCUGCUAGACCCUCGCUGAUGAAGAAUACCCUGACAACCACACUGUAACAACUUCAAUUGCUCUUGAAAAUCUGCAUAAUUCUCAAUAUAAUUUCUUAUGCAAAUAUCCUCAUUUUGGCUUUUACGAUAAGAGCCUUACAGUGGAUGAAGGUUCACUAGUUUACAAAAUUGUCAUCGGUGCAUGUACUUAAUACUGUGACAAUAAAAAAAGUAAUGAGAAGGUAAUCAAAUAAGCAGAAGGUAAUCAAAUUUAAUGAUUAUUUUAGAAGGCUAACUAAAAUUAAAAAAAAUUUAAAUGUAGAAGGUGACGCGCAUUGAGAUAAUCUACGUUUGUUAUUUGUUAAGUAAAUGAUUUUGAAGAAAGAGUUUUUGAGAAUUUAAGUGUUUUGAUGCUUAGCAUUGAGAUAAGGUGACGUGGGGAGAAGGAGAAGGUGAGCAAGACUAAGUAGGCAGUUUGAGGAUCAAACACGAGCUGAAGUUAGGCGUUGAAAGGUAGGCAGUUUGAGGAUCAAACACGAGCUGAAGUUAGGCGUUGAAAGGUAGGAUUUUUUCUAGAAACUUUCUAAUUGUACUUAAUGGGUGAAGUGUGUAAGAGUUUAAACUAAGUAUGGUCAUGAAAAUAUUAAGCUUACGUGUGUAGUACUUUAAGCAGAAGCUGGUGAGUUAAUUAACAAGAACUUACGGAUGACUAAUCUAAUUUGGAUUAGUAUAUAAAUAGGGAAAAAGGGUCGGUUAUGAAAAAUGUAAUGCUAAAGUAUUUGAAGUCACUCUAAGUCAGUAGGCAAGAAGGUCUUUUAGAACCUAGGCGUUCUAAAGACAAAAUUUAUGUUGUGAGUGAUUUUCAAAUAUCAUUUAAAAAUUUUGAAAGCUUCCUUCUGAUUGUAAUGAUUGCUUCUUAUAAUAAUGUUCAUGAAAGAAAUGUUUUCUAAAGAAAGCUUUAAUGUUAUGCUCCAAGUAAAGUUUUAUGUAUGUUAAAUGUAUGCUAUGUUAUGUAUAAAUCAUUAGUCUUAUUUCUAUCAAUGAACUAACUAUUAAUGUGCAUAGAAGAAAUAAAGGCAUCUAUGUAUAAAAUUAUUGCAUGGUGUAAGUGAAGUUAGCUAAUGCGUAAAAGGAAAUACUGAGCUUAGCGGCUUAAGCAACAUGAAGUGAACCACGAUAUUCUCCAAGGGAUGUUGUUGAUGAAAAGGACAUCACAGUAUUCCAUAUGGGGGAAUAGUUAAUGUUCUUGAAAGAAAGGAAUAUGAAAGACUAAUGCAUGUUUUAUGUUCUACGAAACAGACAUUGAGCCUGUUUACUGAAAACCUUUUAACGCAUUGUAUGUCUGAAAAGGUUUUCCAAAACUAACAUUCGCUAAGUUUUUACUUACGCUUUAAAGAUUUUUCUCUCCCAAGUCACCAUGCGUUAAGGCCAAGGUUGGGAUAAGGAAGGUGAACUACCAAGCAGUGAAGCUAAUGCAAGACUUUUAAGAUUAUUGUUCUAGUUGUUGUAUUUAAGAAGCAUGCAAAUUGUGUUGUUGUGUACAUUAUGUUAAGUUAAGAGAAGAGUUGGUUGAUUAUUUUCCGUUGCGUUAUGUAAACUCUAUUCGCCUAAAGCUUAAGUUCAAGAAGUUAGGUUGAGCAUUCUGGGGUUUCAUCUUGAGGCAUUAGAACUUGCUCAAGUCACAUCGCACGCUGCAUUGCAAGAUUUGGGAUGCGUGCGAGACAAGGUGUGACAAAUCAGAUCACAAUCAUAAUGGAACAAAAAAUCUUACUAAUUGACAUAAAAUGGAAAGUAAUCAUAUCACAAUGUAAUGGUAAUCAGAAACUACUUAAUAAUUGAUAAAAGCUUGAUGGUAAUGAGAUGAAUAUCAGAUUUUACUUAGUAAUUAUAAAAAAAAAGAUGUAAUGUCAUUAGAUUGCAAUUAGUAUCAUUUACAAAUAAUUAAAAAUCAAUAUUAAAUUAAAUAAUAACAAGAUGGUAAACUAGUAUCAUUAACAAUCAAAUAACAAUGAACACUAAAUAACAAUAAGAGAGUAAUCAGACAACAAUCAAAUAACAAUUGAUAUCAUUGAUAAUCAAAUGAAAAUCUGAUAACAAUUAGAUGAUAAUCAAAUGUCAGAACUUGAUUCCAUGUUCUGUAUCAGCUUAGUUUUGAUAAUAGUUGACAAUUUGAACUACGGUAAACAUUAUGAGAACAUUUGAACUAUUCAUGUUGUUACUAUCUUUCAAAACUUUCAAUGAAUUCCUCCUUGAUAUAGCAUCUCUUGAAUGCAUUAGAACCUAAAGUUGAUCCUUCUUACACAAGUAAGACAUAAAUAAAUUCUAUAUUUUGGUUACAAACACUUGACACCAUUUAUGGUUAUUUCAUUUUUUUCGUGUUUUAUAUGUAGGUCUUCAAUGGUAUUGACACUAACCUUAAUAUGAGUUCCAUCUAAUGCUCCCACACAAUUCUAUAAAAAAAAAAAAAACAAUUGUUUUACUUCAUUCAAACAAGUAUCACUAUUGAAAAAUGUUAAAACUUACUACUUCAAGUCAUACCUCAAACCAUCUCCACUUUUCAUUGGAUGAAUUUACCUCAAACCAUCUCCACUUUUCAUUGGAUGAAUUUGUAGAUACAUGACUUGGUUUCUUUAGGAGGAAUUCAGGAAGACACAAUAUUGAGUUAAGAACUUCAUUAAAGAACAUAUUAACUUAUGAGACCUUGAUCGCGUUUUGAAGCUACACGUUAAGACCACAUGCAACAAAACUUAUAUGUGUUAAGAUUGCAUGCAAUGAGAGCUGGUGAAUAACACAAAGAUAGUGCCAGAAAACAUGAAGAAUAUUUCAACUUUCAACAUUCACUGAUAUGGGUUAUUAGAAGUUAUCUUCUAUGUCCAACAUCUAUAAAAGGCCAAUGAAGUCUUUUUUUCAAAUCAUCAUCUAACUAGCCAAAUAAGCUACUAGAUUGAAAUUUUUGUUGGAACUUAUGGCACUCUAGUUAACAUUCUAAGAUUGAGAUUGUAUUUUAAUCAUCUUUGGUGACAAACACUUGUAUGGAUUCAAUCAACUAAGUGUGAGAGACCUUAAAAUCAAUCAAAUAACAGAUUGAGAUAUCAUAGGAGUACAAUUUAAGUAAUUUCUUUACAGAGAAAGUGAAGAGAUUUAAGAGAGUUCGAAAGAAUCCUAUCUAGUAUCAUUUCAUUGAGACUUUGUAUAAAACCUUGACUUAAAGCUAAGAGCAGGAAAUUGUUACAGCUGCAAUUCCUUCUAUCAUAUUCAUUUGUUACAAUUCCUUCUAUAAUUGUUACAACAUCAUCAUUCUUUUGUCUUUUUAUAUUUUCUUAUUAAUCACAUUCCAUAGCUAAAGUUAUUGUUUUGUUGUCGACACUGAUUUCUCACUUUGUCAUAGCAGCUUAAUUAAUUUCAUAGGAGAAUGAGAUUAGUACAUAGUAAGUUGUGAAGCAUGCGUUGGCAUUCAUAGUCAUAUGGAUGCGAUAUCCUAUUCCUAACUGUUGACCCCAAUACCAAUUCGAAUCAAGUGGUAGCAAUUAACUGCUCGAGCAAAUAAGUGAUUGCAGAAUUUAUUAAGUCGGGUAAAGAAGUUCUCUUUAUUUCUGGACUAACCUUAGCAUGCAUCAUAAAAAUAUGACACAUGUGGCUAACUCAUUGAACGGUGGAGACAAUGCAAGGCUACAAAUAUAAAUAUGACGCUAUCACAUCAUUCACUUCACUUCAUCCUUUGAUCUUAUUCAUCUCUUUUUUAGUGUUGUCACUUACUUGUCACACUCUCUUUAAAUUAGAACACAUACUUUUUUAUAGUUAAAAAUAAAACUACACCUCCUAUAUUUGAUAAACACUCAGUUGCACAGACAACAUUUUUCGAUCUUUUUAACUAUAUGUUGUUUAUUUUUCGUGUUUGACCUCGAAUCAUUUUCAAAAAACCUUUGCUUAACUUACACUUGGGGUUAUAUAUAGAAAAACUUGUGGUAGAGCAUUACCAACACUUUUAAAAAUGCAUUACUAAUAUUCACACACCUCUAUCACAUCGCAUAUUACACCAUCGAGUAUUUUAAACACCAACUACCUGCACUAUUAUUUUCCAUCCAAAUACUUUUCUUCACCUUCUCUAAAUCUUUGAGCAAUUGAAUAAAAGUUUGUGAUGCAUGCUCAAACAACUAUUCAUUUAUGCUACUGUCAAGUAAUUUGACAAUCAUCACGAUCUAGUUACAAAUUGACUCUUUGAUUUUUUCACUUGUCUCUAUUUGAUUCUCAAGUUCACUUGAAACUCUAGCCUCUUUAAAUAUACGUUAAAAGAAUUAGGUUAAUAAUUUUCUUCUCAAGCACCUUAAGUGCACGGGUAUAUAAAAUUCCAACAAAAGUAAAUUUUAUGGAACUGGACGUAAUAAUGAUAUAAAAAUUUCACCAUCCAUUAUCCCAUGUAUGAACCCUUUAUACAUUUCACUCACGUAUCUUCAUAUGAACAAUACAAUUCAUAUUGUUUGUAACAUUUACAUCUCAUGUAACAAUUACAAAGUGGGUCGUAACCAAAGACCUUUUAGAUUAUAACUUGAACACAUGAAUUAUUUGUAUGUCAUCCACGUAUUAUUUGACUAACAUUAUAUAUAACGUGGGUCUUUGUUUAUUGAAUUGAAUUAAUAUUGUCUAAAAGUAAAAUAAAAUAUUUCAGGCUUUCUUAAAUAAAUAAUUUUUGUUUAAUGAAAACUACUAACAGUGAGAUUUUAGGACACUAGUUUACAUAAAUAUCAACAGGGGAUAACAAUGAAGUGCAUGUGAGUUAAGUUCGAUAUCCAUAUACCUAUGAAAAUGGGAAGAACAGGUACAAUGUAAAAUUAAGAGUGUCUUAGUUAGAUACCCUGGAGUUACAGGGUUUUAAGUGCGCAAACCAUCGUUAUGUAAACCAAGCACAUAUAUCAAUCUAACAAAAUAAAGAUUAUAACUCCCAAUACGUACUAGAAUCAUAAAUUGCAUGUUACUUCAUGGGCUCCAACUUGUGAGUGAGAGGUCAGUGUUGUGGGUAAUUUUUUUAAGAAGUUUCGUGGCCAUUAAAUUAGUCGAGGAAAGAUAGCUAGAGCCUAAGCAAUACAUUAUAAGACGAAAAGGAGGUUUAGGAAAGAGAAAGAAAUGGGUAGAAAAAGCUUAUCUGAGAUUCUCAGCUUAGCUUCCACCAAAGUCGGGCCUAGUGAAUUAGCUUGGGAACUUUUCCAUUCAUUCCACCUAGAACAAUAAUGAAAGAGAAAAUGGCCAUGGAACUAUUUCAUUUGCCCUAUCUGGUCUAAUGAGCAUUCAAAAGCCUCCCAGAUGCAUAGUUUUUAAACAGAAUCGUGAGAGGAUUACAGCAUAUGAUAACGCCUGCCAUGACAACUCCUUGGAGAAGGAGGUGAAUUCUUCUAUCCUAAUAUUUUCUUUUUCUUUUUUGGUUCGUUUAUUGAUUUAAGCAUUAGAGUGUGGGUUGGCAUCCAUCACACCAAUGUCUAAAACUCACAUUUUUUUUUCCAAGGAUUUUGAUUUCUUUCCAUCAAUUCACCGUUGCUAUCUUGUUCAAAUUUCAACAUCAAUAACAUAAAAACAUGGUUAAAUUUAUGAAUAGUGUAAUUUAAUAAACAAAUGACAAAUUUGUGGUAGUUUUGAAAUAAAUAUUGAAAAUAAAUAAAUUGAAUUUGGGGGAGAUGCAAAAUAUUGACAGAAAAACAACAACCAUGAAUUGAUAAUGAAAUAAGGUUAAUUUUGAUUACAUCACCUUCUUAAAUUGAUUAUUAAUUAACAAACUUUUUAAUUAAUUAAUUAUAUCACAACUGUAAAGAAAUAUAUUAUAAUGUUAAGAUAAAUAUCUUUGUAAUUGUUUAAAGCCCUUUCUGCAGAUUCAUUUCUAGUGCUUUUUUUUUUCCACGAAGAAAGCGAAGGCACUACAACUACACUUCAAUUAUAUCGUGAACCAUUGAAUAUUAUUCAAACUUCUAUUCUUAUCAUUGGCUUUUUUUUUUUUUUUUUUAUUGCUUCUAAAUUACAAAAUUCUCCAUUAUAAAAAUGACUGAAACUCAAUUACUUUAAUUCACUGGCUCAAAUCUAAAGCAAAAAUUAAAUAAUUAAAAAAAGAAUAGCAAAUAUUUUAUCACCAAGUUGAUAUAUUUUAAUCCUGGCUUAAAACAAAAAAGAGAGUUUGAGAAAUGUAAUACCAUCCUUCAGUUGACAGCAAAAAAAAAUGUCAACUAUAGUAAUAAUUGUAUCGUUCUAUUCUUAAAAAGGUUAUUCGUGGACAUUAAGUAAUACGAAAAUAUAAGAUGUAAUAAACAUAGAUAUGCAUUUACUCCAAAAUAUACUCUUAUAGUAUUAUAUUUAUUUCUACCGUACAAAUUGAUUAAGGGUAAAAUAUAUUUUCUAUAAAAGUAGAGAAUUCGUUCGUUUGAUCUUCAACCAUAAACCUAACGAAAAACUGGAAGAAAAGAUACAUACAAGAUAUAUGCGUUUGUGUGUGUGUAUUCUAAGUCUUCAUUAAAGAGAAAGCUAAGGUUUGUCAAUCUGAGAAACACCAGGAAGAUGAGAAUGGGAAAUAUCUGAUAUAUUUUCAUUUAUGUCCACAUAUUAAUGUAAAGUAAAGUUGUCCUGAAAUUAAAAACUGUCUCAAAUGAACAUGUAUUGGAAAAGCUUUGUCCAAUGGCAACGUUGAUUUGAAAUGAAGUUCCAAAAAGGACGAGUAAUGAAUGUAAAUUAAUUAGGAGAGAUUAUGAAUGUGAUGGGGAGUUCAAAUAAUUAUAUAUGGAAGUCCUUGUGAUAUUUUUGCAAACUGUGUGGAGGGCCAUGCAUUCUUUUAGCCUCCUUUUCUUUGAUUUGACACUUCACUCACGUUUUGGCCCAACAACACGACACCCUAACUUCCAAUUUACAAAAAAGAACUGAUUUACUUUAUUAUUUACUCUUUCAAUGUGAUUGAUGCCCAAUUUUAAACUCUUUACUUUCUCCAGGAUAUGAGAUCUCUCACAUUAGGCAUAAUCACAAUUUUUGUAAUAUUCACCUCUAGUUUUUAGAUAUUGUAAUUUCCUUCCUACUUAAGUCAAGUCGUUGUGAUUUGGCUUAAUUUCGUGUUUAUAUCAAACCUUUGAGGAGAGAAUUAUUAGUAAACCAACAUAGGAUGAAAGUAAAAAGUUAAUUCUUCUAUCCUAACUCUUCUUCUUUUUUUAAUUAAAGUUGAAAAGGAAGAGAUGUAUCUUAGAUUUUGGUGUUUGCCUACCCAAACAAUAAAAUAAACAUUCCUCUCUCACUUUUUCAAAAUACUUUUUUAAUAAAUAUUUAAGAAAAGAACACAAAUUGGCUAUAUAUAUAUAUAUAUAUAUAGUUAUAGUUAUAUAUAUUGUGAACUGCCCCUUAUGACAAGAGGUAUCUUCACCUUUAUUAAUAUUAUAAAUGUAUAUUGAAAGGCAGACAAUGAAUAGGCCAAAUUUGUUCCACCCAAUGUCUUUGGAGUCAUUUUCCACGUUGUAGGGUGAUCAAGUCCAAAGGUAAUAUAAUAUGGUUCCUAUUUUCAUAAGAAGCAGUACAAUUAUCAAAUUGGGUGCAAUUAUAAUAUUAUUAUUAAUUCCUUAAAAUAGUGUGUGAAUAAAGUUUUCUUUCCUUAAAUUAAUUAAUAUAUGGCUGUCACUUGUUAAAAUGUCCAUUAGUCAAGCCAAACACCCUAAUUAGCUGCCUUCCACAAUGUCUUCCUGUUCAACAUGGGACUAAUCUCAAUUAGACUUAACUAAACUAUUCUAUACCUAAAUAUCAUUCUACCAUAGAAAAUUCAACUCCACCUUCCCUUUUUUUUUUUCUUCUUAAUCUUUCCCUUUCUUUCUUAGUUAGUUAGUGGGUGAGUCAAAUUAAAGUUUUAACUUCUAAAAAUAAAUAUUAAUACAAUAAAUUUUUAAAAAAUAUAAAUUUUACAAAAUAUUUUCAAUCUAUAGUAAAUUCUAUAACAAAUAGUCAUUGACAUGCUAGAAUAAUCAAAGACUAUUAGUGAUAGAAUCUAAAAUUUUGCUAUAGUUUGUAAAUAUUUUAAUUUAUUUUGCUAUUUUUAAAAAUACCCUUAUUAAUAUAAACAUACUACAUCACAUCAUUUGUAGGGAAAAAAAAAUGAAGAAAAACAGACCAACAAAAAAAAAAGAAAUCAUCCAUGGAUUUAACAAAGUCUAAAAUAGCUACUUUUAUUUUUAUUAAGAUUUAAGAAGUAAAAUAAAUAUGUUUUUAAAAAUAUUAAAAAAAUUUGGAAAUAAAAACUAAAUUUAAACUCAAAAAAUUUAUCGAACUUGUGGUGUAAUAUAAACAUCUAGACACACUAACAUGAUUCACCAAAUAAGAUGAGAUGGAACCCUGGGAGUCUUUUCAAGGAGAAAAGAAAGUAAUGGUAUUUGGAUGGAUUGAGUUAUAUGAAACUAUUUUAAAUGGAAAGAUAAUGGAAAAUAAUUAUAAAAUAUAGUAAAAUAUUAUAUAUCACAAUAAAUAAAUUGUACAUGUAUGUAUUUAAAAUUGGUUCAUCUUAAAAUUGGUUAACUUAAACAGUAAUUUAAGGUAGAAAGAUUGAGAUACAAAAUAAUUUAGAAAUAUUUAUUUGGGUAGAAGGAGUUGGGGUUAGGUAUGUAGAAUAGAAGAAAAAGGGUGGGAAAAUGUAGUAGUGGAUUGUGGUGGCGGUGGGUAAAUAAAAGGAGGAGUAAAGUGGAAUCUAAAAAUGAGGAUGAUUCCAUGCGUGUGGCGGCCAUAAAAAAGAAGAAGGAGAAAGAGAGAGAGUAGGGUCCGGAGAUUGUGGAAAAGAUGGAAGCCAGGGAAAGGAAACUAAACUAGGUUUUAAAUUGGCCUUUGAGUUCCCCAAAUAACAAUGGGCCCAUUUUCAUUUUCCCAUUACUCGCCCCUUCGCUUGCUACGCGGCUAACAUUCCUUCUUCCUUCUUUCAUUAAUCACAUGCCCCAUUUUUAUCAUCCUUUAAUUUCAUCUUCCCAAUUCAUUCUACCCUUCCCUUUUUACAAUUAUUACAUUCAUGCAUCUUUCCUUAUACCUUCCCAAUUCAUUCUACCUUCUUCAUUCUUUAAAUCACCCUACCCUCCUCCUUUUUCCUUCUCAUUACUUAUUUCUAAAAUACCUCUCUAUAUGCAUCUUCCCUUAAUACACGUUCCACCAAAAUUCUCACAUCUCUAUAAACUCCGCAUCUACAUUACUGUACUUGUUUUAUGGAUAUUGUGCACCCUUUACAAGUUUGCGGUGUAUUCUUUGAAUUCAAAUAUUGGUUUUCUCUAUUCCUCUGUUUAGGACAACUCCUAUAUAUUACAUUUUUUUUUCAUUUUAUAUGGUUAAAAAUAGAUACUAUCAAGUAUGUAUUAAACUCACCCGCAAAUUUAGUAUAGGCUAAGGAGACUUGUCUUUAUAUAAUAUGUAUAAACAAAAUCAAUUAAUACUUAAUAUUAAUUGAUAGUUUAGUGGUAAUAAUGCGUUCAAGUCUUAUUUGUAUAGUUUUUUUUCAAAUUUUUAUUUUUUUUUUAAGUUACAACUUCAAACCCACUGUCAAUAAAUUUUCUGGACAUAAACUAAGUAUAUUGGAUAACUUAAUUUUAGGCAUUUCAAGAUUUUGUUCAUCUACAAUUCUAGAAAAAAUAUUGUACUUGAGGGUGAUUGAAACAUUAUAUUGUCCAGUGUAACUAGUAGCUUUUAUAGUAGGUGAGUUUAUUGGAUCAAUCCAUAUUAUUUUAGUGUAAGUUAUUUAUAAAAUAUACCAAAAUUUUAUAAUCUACCAUAUUUUGUGAAUAUUUGUUAUAAUGUGUCAUUUCCAAUAAUUUCCUUUUUUCAUAGUAUUUUUUUUUUCUACUAGGAUGAGUCAUAGUUUUUUCUAGUUUUCUUACCUAAAUUCAUGUGUUUAUUAGGUACUAUUAUUUGUUAUUUUCUUUUCAUUCCUCACUUAUGUUUGUUUAAUAAUUUGUGGUGGAAUUAAGAUUGCUUUGAGUACAUGAGGGCAAAUUAUUCAAUGCAUAAAAUCUUAAUUUAAAAAUUAUAUCUUAAUUAUUAGUGUCACAAAUUUGUGUUGCCGUGUUAGGUUGUUUUUCAAGUUUUUCAUUCAGAUACUCCAUCACCUACAUAUAUAUAUAGUUAUACCAACAUUUUAGAUAUAUGAUAUCAAAUAUUGACAUAAACGCCAAAGAAUCCUGAAAAUUUUUAAUAUUAAGAAUUCAUAUAUUCAACAACUCGAGUUUAACAAAACCAUGUUUGAAUGCAGAAUUUUCUUUGCUAUGGUUUUCUAUGUUUUUUCUUUUAAUUUUCUAUCUCUUGUUAUCUUGAAGCUGAUCAUCUCCCCUAGUGGACAAUUUGGUAUUUGAAUUGACAUUUUUGUCAUUUCCCUGUUCCCCCACGAAUAAGUUCCCUUCAAAAUUCUCCACAUAUUUUCCUACACAAAUGAACCAAUUAAUUUCUUCUUCGUUAAUUUCAAAUAUAUACCAAAAUGAAAAUAAUGAAAAUAAUGAAAUAAUAGGUGAGAAAUGUUAAUGAAUUAAUUAUCGUCCCUUAAUUGCAUGUAGACAUCCAAACAAUAAUAGGAGAAAAAGAAGGGUAUUUACAACUUAAUAUUCACAUAUACUAAUUAUUUUACAAAACGAAUCCAACGUCCUUUUCUUCAAUUUUCGAUUUCCAUUGAAGAAAGAAAAAAACAAAGAAAAAAAAAACAUUUUAUUAAAAUUAAAAUUUUAUUAUUUUCGUCUGUCUCUGUCUACUCAAAACACCAACAUGGAAUUCUUGGUGUCGUAAUUCAUCUUCUCCAG
rnacentral:lncRNA from 1 species